AUUGAACGCUGGCGGCAGGCCUAACACAUGCAAGUCGAACGGUAACAGGAAGCAGCUUGCUGCUUUGCUGACGAGUGGCGGACGGGUGAGUAAUGUCUGGGAAACUGCCUGAUGGAGGGGGAUAACUACUGGAAACGGUAGCUAAUACCGCAUAACGUCGCAAGACCAAAGAGGGGGACCUUAGGGCCUCUUGCCAUCGGAUGUGCCCAGAUGGGAUUAGCUAGUAGGUGGGGUAACGGCUCACCUAGGCGACGAUCCCUAGCUGGUCUGAGAGGAUGACCAGCCACACUGGAACUGAGACACGGUCCAGACUCCUACGGGAGGCAGCAGUGGGGAAUAUUGCACAAUGGGCGCAAGCCUGAUGCAGCCAUGCCGCGUGUAUGAAGAAGGCCUUCGGGUUGUAAAGUACUUUCAGCGGGGAGGAAGGGAGUAAAGUUAAUACCUUUGCUCAUUGACGUUACCCGCAGAAGAAGCACCGGCUAACUCUGU
rnacentral:rRNA from 1 species